UACGAAGGGGACUAGCGUUGUUCGGAAUUACUGGGCGUAAAGCGUAUGCAGGCGGACUUUUAAGUCGGGGUGAAUCCCGAGGCUCAACCUCGGAACUGCCUUCGAUACUGGAAGUCUUGAGUCCGGGAGAGGUGAGUGGAACUCCGAGUGUAGAGGUGAAAUUCGUAGAUAUUCGGAAGAACACCAGUGGCGAAGGCGGCUCACUGGUCCGGUACUGACGCUGAGGUGCGAAAGCGUGGGGAGCAAACAGG
rnacentral:rRNA from 1 species